rnacentral:lncRNA from 1 species
AGCCUCUCUGCCCUCCUGUCUCUGCAGUCUCCAUCAUAUCAGAACAACAACCCAAGAGGUGCUGGUCCAGGCUCCAGACAUACAGAGAAGAAUGAAGCAUAAUCCCUGCCCUGAAGGGUUUCACAGCCUGUUGAUCAGGAAGACAUGUGGAAAGAUACAUAAUAACACCAAAUAUCGCAGGAGCACUGGUCAGAUGCUGGGUGGUUGCCAGACAAGCGAGCCAGAGGAACACGAAGGCCCUGCCAUCGAGGAGCGUGCCAGAUCUCAGGGCCCCUAGACCAGGAGUCCUUCAGGGGGGCCUGCCACACUCCUCAUGUUUCAAAAUGAAUUUCCAUGCUUAACAUUACACCGUCUGUCAAGUUCAAAGAGGCUUCGUGUUUUGUUUGAAACCGGGUCUCGUUGUGUCGCCCAGGUUGGAGUGCAGUGGCACGACCUCAGCUCAUUGCAGCCUUGACCUCCUGGGCUCAAGGGAUCCUCCCACCUCAGCCCCCCAAGUAGCUGGGACUACAGGUAUGUCCCACCACACCUGGCUAAUUUUUGUAUUUUUUGUAGAGAUGGGGUUUUGCCAUGUUGCCCAGGCAGAUUGGUCUUGCACUCCUGAGCUCAAGCAAUCCUCCUGCCUCAGCCUCCCAAAGUGUUGUGAUUACAGGUGUGAGCCACUGUGCCUGGCUGCAGAAGAUUUUUUUUGAUUAAGCCCAUCUC